GACGAACGCUGGCGGCGUGCCUAAUACAUGCAAGUAGGACGCAGUUGCGAACGGGUGAGUAACGCGUAGGCAAUUACCUAUUAGAGGGGGGUAACUAUUGGAAACGAUAGCGAAUACCGCAUACUAGUAGAUGGAACUGCGUUGUAUUAUCUAGUAGGUGGGGUAAUGGCCUACCGAGGCAACGAUACAUAACCGACCUGAGAGGGUGAUCGGCCAAACUUGGACGGAUAAAACGCCCAGACUCCUACGGGUGGCAGCAGUAGGGAAUCUUCGGCAAUGGGGGGAACCCUGACCGAGCAACGCCGCGUGAGUGAAGAAGGUCUUCGGAUCGUAAAGCUCUGUUGUGAAGGAAGCGGUACUUAAACAGAAAGGGACGGCUAACUACGUGCCAGCAGCCGCGGUAAUUC
rnacentral:rRNA from 1 species